CGCCGCGUGCGGGAUGAAGUCCUUCGGGAUGUAAACCGCUGUCUGGGGAGACGAUGGGACGCCUACCUAAUACGUAGGUGUCUUGACGGUAUCUCCAAAGAAAGCACCGGCUAAAUACGUGCCAGCAGCCGCGGUAAUACGUAUGGUGCAAGCGUUGCCCGGAUUUACUGGGCGUAAAGGGUGCGUAGGCGGAUCGGUAAGUCGAUUGUGAAAUCUCCGGGCUUAACCCGGAAACUGCGGUUGAUACUACCGGUCUAGAGGACAGAAGAGGAAAGCGGAACUCCUGGUGUAGCGGUAAAAUGCGUGGAUAUCAGGAGGAAGGCCAACGGCGAAGGCAGCUUUCUGGUAUGUUCCUGACGCUGAGCACGAAAGCUAAGGUAGCAACCGGAUUAGAUACCCGGGUAGUCUUAGCAGUAAACGAUGUACACUAGGUAUUGGGGUUCUCAUGCCGGAGUUACGCAUUAAUGUACGCCUGGGGACUACGGCGCAAGCUAAA
rnacentral:rRNA from 1 species